UACGGAGGGUGCGAGCGUUGUCCGGAUUUAUUGGGUUUAAAGGGUGCGUAGGUGGCCUUAUAAGUCAGUGGAGAAAUACGGUUGCUCAACAAUCGAGGUACCAUUGAUACUGCAAGGCUUGAAAUAAUUGGAGGCUGCCGGAAUGGAUGGUGUAGCGGUGAAAUGCAUAGAUAUCAUCCAGAACACCGAUUGCGAAGGCAGGUGGCUACGAUUGGUUUGACACUGAGGCACGAAAGCAUGGGGAGCAAACAGG
rnacentral:rRNA from 1 species